UUGGAUAUUUGCCGCCUGGAAUUUCCAACCUUUUUGAUGAUAUUCAAUAGAUGUAACUAUAUCCGGAAUCCACAAGUUUACUUGCAACUAUUGCCUUAUGGUUUAUAUUGGACAAACAAGAAAAUCUUUCACUACGAGGAAACAUGAAAACCGAAGGAGUUGUAAGACCAUUCCAAGGAAUAUUUUGAUUGAUGAAUGAUACAUUCCUGUAUCGAUGUAUGUCCUGUCGCAAUUUUCCUGCGCACUAUGUCUCUGUCACCGGGAUGCUGGCCAUUUUUCUGGACCGAAUUUAUUACUGGCCACGACAAUGAACUACAGCCCGGCUGUAUUUUAUCCUAUUGGACCGAUUACCAGAAGCGGGGAUCGAAUAGAAAUAAUCGAAUACUUUCGCUUCUAGAAAAUCUUAUUCAUAUUUCGGAAGUAAUGGAACAAUCAUCGACGUCGCUGAUGAGUUGAACAGCAAUUUCAAACAUUGAACGAUACUAUGGAUCAUUAGGCGGAUGCUAUCUGUAUUUUCGAAUCCUUUUCAAUCUUCCCCAACACUCUCAAAUGGCCAUCAAUCGCUUCAGUGGCUACGAACACAGCAUGUUCAUAAUUAGGGCUGAUAUUGGAAGAUCCACUGAGCCAAAUGCAAGACCCUCACUACGCCAAUCAAAUCCAAUUCGGAAAAGUAGAAUUGGAAGGUGGAAUAUAAUCCAUUUUCAUGGGAUAAUCACCGAUAAUUAUUAUUCAAUCUCUCAUUGCUAUGGAUUCAUCAAGCCAAGUAGCUUGACAUUUUUAACAAACUAAUUGACUUGAAAAUCAAGAUCGUGAAAAAUUACAUACUUGAGCUUGACUUGACUUGAUUUUAGAUAUUGAUUGCUUGACUUGAUAUCAAGCUACUUGAUAUUAAUUGAGCUUGAUAUGAUCGCGUCGCUCGGCAUAUAUUUCUGCAAUCUCGUGCGCGCUUAGACUAAAUAAGGGGAUUCCUCGAGCACCGAGAAAGUGAAGCAUUCGAUAGAGUGGCUUUAGUAGUAGUUUUCUCAUAUUUCUAUGAAAUAUAUUAGUAGAUUUUGGUAGUUUCAGAAAUAUCCUUCCAAACUUGGCCAAAAUGGCCAAGGAUUUUUCAUCAACGACAGCAUCUUCAGCUCCU